CUACGGGUGGCUGCAGUGGGGAAUAUUGCACAAUGGAGGAAACUCUGAUGCAGCAACGCCGCGUGGAGGAUGACACUUUUCGGAGCGUAAACUCCUUUUAUAUAGGAAGAAGAUGACGGUACUAUAUGAAUAAGCGCCGGCUAACUCCGUGCCAGCAGCCGCGGUAAUACGGAGGGCGCAAGCGUUACUCGGAAUCACUGGGCGUAAAGAGCGUGUAGGCGGAUUAAAAAGUCAGAAGUGAAAUCCUAUAGCUUAACUAUAGAACUGCUUCUGAAACUCUUAAUCUAGAAUAUGGGAGAGGUAGAUGGAAUUUCUGGUGUAGGGGUAAAAUCCGUAGAGAUCAGAAGGAAUACUGAUUACGAAGGCGAUCUACUAGAACAUUAUUGACGCUGAGACGCGAAAGCGUGGGGAGCAAACAGGAUUAGAUACCCCGGUAGUC
rnacentral:rRNA from 1 species